GAGCUUCAUAUUCCGCUCCAUUGUUUGUUGCGGGGAACUCAAAACGCAGAGCAUACUCCGCGAUGAUUCCCUCUGGACUAACCAAGAUUAGGCCUGCACCCGCGCCUGACAUGUUGGAAGACCCGUCCACAUAGAGGGCCCAAAAGCGAUCAGAGGAAUCCGCUUCUUCUUUGGGGGAGUUCGGUUGGGACUUCAAGUCGUCAAUUUUGCUUUGUUCAGAUUUAGCCUCCUCUGGGAUAGUACACUCCACCAUGAAAUCUGUCAGUAUUUGGGCCUUCACUGCUGGCCUGGAUCGAUAGUUGAUGUCGAAUUCUAUGAUCUCGAUCGCCUACUUUGCCAUCCUUCCAGAGGCAUCCGCCCGAUGCAAAAUCGCUUUGAUCGGUUGAUC
rnacentral:lncRNA from 1 species